AGGGCGGGAGGAGGGGGCAGGACGCGGGAGUUGGGAUUCUCACUCACUCUCGCUCUGUCCUCUUAAAGGGGCCGCGCGGGACGCCGGGGUGGGCGCGCGGGCCCGGACGGGCGCUUCGAGGGCGCGGGCUAGGGGCGAGGGGGCGGCGGCGGCGGCGAACGGCUGGAGAGGGCGGAGGGGGCGGUUGAUUUUUAAAUUGUGCCUCCACUCGCUCUCUCGCGCCCUGGUUCCUGCGAGUUGUUUAUUCCAUUUUCCUCUUCCUGAGACGGCCGUCGCCGUUGCGCGUGCGCGCCGCGGCGCGGUGCCUUGUGGGUAGCCGGCGCGCUGGGGGAAGCCUGGCCGGGCGCCGGGCCCCCGGGGGCAUCCGCGCGCGGGCGGCCUCGGGACGGGCGGCGUGACGUCCUCGCGAGAGCGGGUGCCUCCCCGUUCUGUGUGUUUCCCUACCGAUCUAGCCAGGUGUCAUCCUUGAUAAGACACAAUUGACAGUGGCUGGCCGUUGGGAGGCUGCGCCCGGGAGCGGUCCGCGCCCUCGCCCCGCGAGGACUGGUUUAAUUUUGCAUCGCGCUGCCUCUGCCGCGUCCCUUUUCACCCCCACCCCACCGCCCUCCUGCGAGGUGCCGAGCACUGCGGGACUGACUACCGUAGCUUCUGGGCUCUUUGUCAAAAAGUGGGCCAGGAGAAUGUUGCAAUCGGCAAACCCCCUGCUCGGUGCUGCACCUGUUUCCUCUGUUAUUUAUAUUUCUAAAGGCCCUCAGGAAAUUUUUAUGAAAACUCAGAUGCCAUCCGGGACGGCACUGCCUGGACGUCCCGGGGAAGUUUCACUUAUAAAUGUACUGGAUUGUUUUUCUCCAGUCAGCCUAGGUCUGGAUUUGAAAUUAAUCUUUAAAACAUAAUUUUUCCCCCGGCGACCUCUGAUGUUUUUGCUCUACUAUAUUUAAUUUGUUUUUUACAGGUUUUAAAGAAUUUUAACGGCAAGGAAGGGAAUUUUAACAGUUUAGCUUUUCUCUUAGAUUUUCACGAAAGGUGAAUGAGAGGUGGUGUUGACGGUAUUUAGGAAUUCUAGCAAACAGUCACAGAAGAAUGGAAAUAAACAAAACCACCAUGCUGCAAAAAGGGAAAGGUGGAUCCUAUAGAGCAAAAUCUGGAAAAGACUUUUUGACCCUUCACGCCCGGCCCAGCGCUUGACCCUCCUAAGAACCCUAUUAAGACAAAAGAAGAGGAACACUCACGUUUUAUACUUAAACAAAUACCAGGAAUUGAACUCACAACCUUGCGCUUGCCAGGCA